rnacentral:rRNA from 1 species
GGCGAACGCUGGCGGCGUGCCUAAUACAUGCAAGUCGAGCGCUGAAGGUUGGUACUUGUACCGACGGGAUGAGCAGCGAACGGGUGAGUAACGCGUGGGUAAUCUGCCUAUGAGCGGGGGAUAACAUCUGGAAACGAAUGCUAAUACCGCAUAAUAACUUUAAACACAAGGUUCAAGAGUGAAAGAUGGAAUUGCAGUACCUAAAGAAUAUAUCGCGUUGUCUUAGCUAGUUGGUGAGGGAAAGGCUCACCAAGGCGAAGAUACAUAGCCGGCCCGAGAGGGGGGUCCGCCAACAUGGGACUGGGACCCGGCCCAAACCCCUUCGGGAGGGCGCCAGAGGGGAUCUUCCGCCAUGGACGGAAGGCUUGACGGGCCACGCCGCGGGAGUGAAGGAGGUUUUCCGAUCGUAAAACUCUGUUUGUUGAGAAGAACGUUGGUGGGAGGGGAAAGCGCAUCAAGUGACGGUACCUACCCAGAAAGGCACGGCUAACUACGUG